rnacentral:rRNA from 1 species
UACGUAGGUCCCGAGCGUUGUCCGGAUUUAUUGGGCGUAAAGCGAGCGCAGGUGGUUUAUUAAGUCUGGUGUAAAAGGCAGUGGCUCAACCAUUGUAUGCAUUGGAAACUGGUAGACUUGAGUGCAGGAGAGGAGAGUGGAAUUCCAUGUGUAGCGGUGAAAUGCGUAGAUAUAUGGAGGAACACCGGUGGCGAAAGCGGCUCUCUGGCCUGUAACUGACACUGAGGCUCGAAGGCGUGGGGAGCAAACGGG